CCCAAAAUGCGCAUGGGCCCGCAACGCGGGCCCGACUCGGAUUUUUUGCUUUUUUUCUUAAAAAACUCAGCCCACACACACACGGAAUUGGGCCUAUUAAAAAAGGAUGCCCGGCCCGAGUUCAGAAACCGGCCCGACGAGUGCAGGUCCGACCCGGGGAAACCCUACCCGGAAACGGAGGAACCGGGUCGAAAGGACCCGCGAACUGACCCGGUUCCCGGCCUCCUCUCUCCUUCGUUUGCUCGCGGCGCUGGUGGGAGGGACCGAGGCGUCACCGGGCAGACGGCAACGACGGCGGCGACGACGGAAUAGACGGCGAUGAGGGCGGCGACGGCGGCGACGAUGGAGACGACGGCGACGACGGUGGAGACGACGGCGACGACGACGACGACAAUCCGCUCAGCGAGGACGACCGACAAUGGGUCUGUGAUGGGGGUUUCAGUGGCGGCACGGUUCGAAAAGGGGGAAGAUGCGACGGCGGCGACACGACCGGCGGUGGUGAUGGUUACCGUUACCUGUCUGUGACAAGGUGGCGAACGGUGGCGGUGAUAGGAGGUAGUGACGUCGGCCCCGUAGCUCCUAGAUCUAGCGUGGCGUCGGCGGAUCGAUCGCGACGCGGCUUGACGGGGGAACAGCAGCAACAGAGCAACGGUCGCAGGUGGCCGAGAGCUUCCGGCUUCCCAGAUCUGGUCCUUCGGAACCUCCUCUCUCC
rnacentral:lncRNA from 1 species